rnacentral:rRNA from 1 species
UACGGAGGGGGCUAGCGCUGUUCGGAAUUACUGGGCGUAAAGCGCACGUAGGCGGCUUUGUAAGUUAGAGGUGAAAGCCCGGGGCUCAACUCCGGAAUUGCCUUUAAGACUGCAUCGCUAGAAUUGUGGAGAGGUAAGUGGAAUUCCGAGUGUAGAGGUGAAAUUCGUAGAUAUUCGGAAGAACACCAGUGGCGAAGGCGACUUACUGGACACAUAUUGACGCUGAGGUGCCAAAGCGUGGGGAGCAAACAGG